rnacentral:rRNA from 1 species
GACGAACGCUGGCGGCGUGCUUAACACAUGCAAGUCGAGCGGAGCGGCGAACGGGUGAGGAACGCGUGAGUAACUGCCCCCCUCUCUGGGAUAACAGUUGGAAACGGCUGCUAAUACCGGAUAGUGGGGGCUGUCUCGCGUCCUAUGAGCUUGUUGGUGGGGUAGUGGCAUACCAAGGCGACGACGGGUAGCCGGCCUGAGAGGGGGACCGGCCACAUUGGGCUGAGAUACGGCCCAAACUCCAACGGGAGGCAGCAGGGGGGAAUAUGGCGCAAUCGGGGAAACCCUGUUGCAGCAACGCCGCGGGCGGGAUGACGUUCUUCGGGUGGUAAACCGCUUUCAGCCAUGACGCGGUAGUGGCAGAAGAAGCACCGGCUAACUACGUGCCAGCAGCCGCGGUAAUAC